UACGUAGGUGGCAAGCGUUGUCCGGAUUUACUGGGCGUAAAGAGCGCGCAGGCGGUCGUUCAAGUCGCGUGUGAAAGCCCCCGGCUCAACUGGGGAGGGUCACGCGAUACUGAUCGACUCGAAGGCAGGAGAGGGUAGUGGAAUUCCCGGUGUAGUGGUGAAAUGCGUAGAUAUCGGGAGGAACACCAGUGGCGAAGGCGGCGACCUGGGUAGACACUGACGCUGAGGUGCGAAAGCGUGGGGAGCAAACAGG
rnacentral:rRNA from 1 species